AGUGAACGCUGGCGGUAGGCCUAACACAUGCAAGUCGAACGGCAGCACAGUAAGAGCUUGCUCUUACGGGUGGCGAGUGGCGGACGGGUGAGGAAUACAUCGGAAUCUACUUUUUCGUGGGGGAUAACGUAGGGAAACUUACGCUAAUACCGCAUACGACCUGCGGGUGAAAGCAGGGGAUCUUCGGACCUUGCGCGAUUGAAUGAGCCGAUGUCGGAUUAGCUAGUUGGCGGGGUAAAGGCCCACCAAGGCGACGAUCCGUAGCUGGUCUGAGAGGAUGAUCAGCCACACUGGAACUGAGACACGGUCCAGACUCCUACGGGAGGCAGCAGUGGGGAAUAUUGGACAAAGGGCGCAAGCCUGAUACAGCCAUACCGCGUGGGUGAAGAAGGCCUUCGGGUUGUAAAGCCCUUUUGUUGGGAAAGAAAAGCAGCAGGUUAAUACCCCGCUGUUCUGACGGUACCCAAAGAAUAAGCACCGGCUAACUUCGUG
rnacentral:rRNA from 1 species